UGGGGAAUAUUGCACAAUGGGGGAAACCCUGAUGCAGCGACGCAGCGUGCGGGAUGACGGCCUUCGGGUUGUAAACCGCUUUCAGCAGGGAAGAAGCCUCACGGUGACGGUACCUGCAGAAGAAGUACCGGCUAACUACGUGCCAGCAGCCGCGGUAAUACGUAGGGUACGAGCGUUGUCCGGAAUUAUUGGGCGUAAAGAGCUCGUAGGUGGUUGGUCACGUCUGCUGUGGAAACGCAACGCUUAACGUUGCGCGUGCAGUGGGUACGGGCUGACUAGAGUGCAGUAGGGGAGUCUGGAAUUCCUGGUGUAGCGGUGAAAUGCGCAGAUAUCAGGAGGAACACCGGUGGCGAAGGCGGACUCUGGGCUGUAACUGACACUGAGGAGCGAAAGCAUGGGGAGCGAACAGGAUUAGAUACCCUGGUAGUCCAUGCCGUAAACGUUGGGCACU
rnacentral:rRNA from 1 species